UACGUAGGGCGCAAGCGUUGUUCGGAUUCAUUGGGCGUAAAGGGUGCGUAGGCGGCGCGGUAAGUCGGGUGUGAAAUUUCGGAGCUUAACUCCGAAACUGCAUUCGAUACUGCGGUGCUUGAGGACUGGAGAGGAGACUGGAAUUCAUGGUGUAGCAGUGAAAUGCGUAGAGAUCAUGAGGAAGACCAGUGGCGAAGGCGGGGUCUCUGGACAGUUCCUGACACUGAGGCACGAAGGCCAGGGGAGCAAACGGG
rnacentral:rRNA from 1 species